AUGGCUUUUGACCUUGCAGCGGCGGCAGCGGCAGUGCCAUGGAGCUACCUCCUGUACGGGCUCACGGGCUCUGCGCUCCUGUGGCAGGCCCGCCUGCUGCUGGACCGGCUGUGGUGGCGCCCGCGGCGGCUUGAGCGGACGCUGCGCGCGCAGGGCGUCGGCGGCACGCCGUACCGCUUCCUCAUGGGCGACCUCAAGGACUUCGGCCGGCUCAACGACGAGGCCUGGGCCAAGCCAUUGCCGCUGCGCUGCCACGACAUCGUCCCCCGCGUCAUCCCGUUCCUCCACAACAACGUCCGGGACAACGGCAAGCCGUGCUUCUCUUGGUUCGGACCGGUGGCCAACGUGGCCAUCACUGACCCUGAGCUUAUCAAGGACGUGCUGUCCAACAAGUUUGGCCACUUCCAGAAGCCCCAGUUCCCGGCUCUCACCAAGCUGCUCGCCAACGGCCUCACGACCCAUGAGGGGGAGAAAUGGGUCAAGCACAGGAGGAUCCUCAAUCCCGCUUUCCAUCUUGAGAAGCUCAAGCUCAUGCUACCGGCUUUUUCUGCAAGCUGUGAAGAGCUUGUCACCAGAUGGAAGGAGUUGCAUUGUUCUGGCGGAUCGUGCGAGGUGGAUGUGUGGCCGGAGCUCCAGAACCUCACCGGGGAUGUCAUUUCUCGCACAGCUUUCGGCAGCAGUUAUCUCGAAGGAAGGCGGAUAUUCCAACUGCAGUCCGAGCAAGCUAAGCUCUUUGUUGGUGCGGUCCAGAGGAUUAUUAUUCCGGGUUACCUAUUCUUGCCCACCAAGAACAAUUUGAAAAUGCGCAAAAACAAUAAGGAGGUUGAAUCAGUUUUACAAGGUCUAAUCAAUAAAAGAAUGCGAGCUAUGGAAGAAGGUGAAAAAUCGGAAAAUGAUCUGCUAGGCCUGUUGCUAGAGUCAAAUAUGAAGGACAUGGACGAGAAUGGCCAACCUAGCCAAGGAAUGGCAAUGGAAGAUGUCAUCGAGGAGUGCAAACUAUUCUACUUGGCAGGAAUGGAGACAACGUCGGUGCUGCUCACGUGGACAAUGAUUGUACUAAGCAUGCAUCCGGAGUGGCAAGACCUUGCGAGGGAGGAGGUCCUAGGUUUAUUUAGGAAGAACAAACCCGAGUACGAGGGCCUUAGCCGACUAAAAACGGUGACCAUGAUCCUUCACGAGGUUCUUCGGUUGUAUCCAUCGGCUACAGUUUUUAGCCGAAAAACAUACAAGGAUAUGGAUAUCGGAGGGGUCAGAUACCCCUCGGGUGUGUUCAUCGAGGUGCCAGUUCUAUUUAUCAAUCAUGAUCCAGACAUAUGGGGAAGUGAUGUCAAUGAGUUCAAACCAGACCGAUUUGCCCAGGGGAUUUCCAAGGCAUCUAAGCAUCCGGGCGCCUUCUUGUCAUUUGGUUGGGGGCCACGGGUGUGCAUCGGCCAGAACUUUGCAAUGCUCGAAGCCAAGAUGGCACUAAGCAUGAUCCUUCAGCAUUUCGAGUUUGAGCUCGCGCCAUCAUAUACGCAUGCACCGCACACCGUGAUGACAUUGCAACCAAUGCAUGGUGCGCAAAUUAAGCUCAGAGCUAUCUGA
rnacentral:rRNA from 1 species